CAGGAACCCACCAAGCCUCAGGAAUAGCAAAGAGGAUCACCUGAGAACACAACCAGAAAAGACUAGGAUCAUUCCAGGAACUCACCAAGCCACAGGCAUUCUGGAUCCUGCUUCAUUUCCUUCCAUCAAUCCACCCCUGAGCACCAUCCCAACAUAAAUGAGGGUACAUCAUGCCCUGGCAGAGCAGUGGCCAUCCUGGCUGGAGCUCCAGCAUGCUCACCACAGCAUCUUCCAAAGACUGCCUCUUGGCCCCCAGAAGAAAUGAAAGAUCCCUGAAUAUGGCUUCACCAAAGGGAUUGUUCUAUUAGUGGCCCAUUCAAGAAAAGGAUGCGAAGAGUCUCCUCUCCACGUCAAGCUUUCUUCACAUGCUUCUUUUUCCGUUUAGUCAAGCUUUUGAUUAUUCUGGAACAUUCUGAGUCUGGGAGGAAAUAGAAAAUGGAAAUUUCAGUGGAACUCAAGGAGGUUUUUCAGCACCAUCGAUGGGGAAAUGAUCUUUACAAUAGUCCUGGGAGUGGUAAUGUGUUCACUUUGCAAAUAAGUCCUGGAGGUCAAAUCACUUGCCCCAAGUCAUUCUGCUGAUGAUGAGCAUUCCACAGCUUGUUUGUAGAAUACUGUGGUCUCUGCAUUCUCUCUCAUGCUGAAACUGGAAAAGAUAUUAUCUUGGUCCUGAGAGGGGCAGAUAGGGUUGGAGGGGGUGUACCAAAAAAAAAAAAAAAAGGUUGUGUGGGUGAUUGGUGUGCUUCAAGAUUUCCCCAGAGCAUUAAAG